rnacentral:rRNA from 1 species
GAUGAACGCUGGCGGCGUGCUUAACACAUGCAAGUCGAACGGUGAACACGGAGCUUGCUCUGUGGGAUCAGUGGCGAACGGGUGAGUAACACGUGAGCAACCUGCCCCUGACUCUGGGAUAAGCGCUGGAAACGGCGUCUAAUACUGGAUACGAACCGCGCAGGCAUCUUCAGUGGUUGGAAAGAAUUUCGGUUGGGGAUGGGCUCGCGGCCUAUCAGCUUGUUGGUGAGGUAAUGGCUUACCAAGGCGUUGACGGGUAGCCGGCCUGAGAGGCCCACCGGCCAAGGUGGGACUGAGACGCGGCCCAGACUCCUCCGGGAGGCAGCAGUGGGGAAUAUUGCACAAUGGGCGAAAGUCUGAUGCAGCAACGCCGCGUGAGGGAUGACUGCCUUCGGCUUGUAAACCUCUUUUAGCAGGGAAGAAGCGAAAGUGACGGUACCUGCAGAAAAAGCGCCGGCUAACUACGUGCCAGCCGCCCCAGUAAAAC